ensembl:lncRNA
ACACUAAUAGCUCCACUGAAGCCAGACAGUUCAUGCUUGCAGGUCCCAUUUUCUAAGCCUCUUUUCAUCCCAGUAACUGCCUCAUCAGUGCUAACUAAGAGAGAAGAAAGAUUUCCCAGAUAUUCAAGACAUUCCUGUUUAUUGACCAAGUAUCACUUCCACCUUCUUCACAGGAACCUGAUAAUGUUAUAACAUGCUGAAAUUUGGGAUAUAACCAGAUUUGUGAAAAGCUGCUACUGAGUUAGUGUUUUGCCUCUUCUAGCACACAAACAUCUUUCUGUAGAGCAAUUCAGCCCUUUUUUUGUGCUGCUUAUGCGAUAUAGUACGAGAGAAGGUUACAUGAGAUGAAGACUACAAAGGCACAAGUGAUAAAUCCUUAAGAUGGAGACAUUAAACAAGUUCACAUUGCCUGCUCCUGCACCAGCUGAAGCCCUGGGAAGUGGGAAGUGAAAAUUAUUUUUGGACUAUGUUGUUUGCUCCUCACACAGAGAUAUUGCAACAGAAAAAACAGUCAACAGAAAAAUAAACAAACAAACAAACAAACAACAACAAAAAAGACCUGACAAAAGCAGGAUGAGAAAUGGAACAGAAGGGACAGAGGGGAAAACACAUUCAGAAUGGGGGGGAAAAUCAAGGGGAAGAUACAGAGCAAAAAUCUGUUGAACGAGAAGUGCAUUAAAGAUGCUGCUGCUUGGUAGCUGUGUGUAUGCAGAGCUUAGCAGUAAUAGAGGGCACAGACUUCCAUUUCAAGACUGACACGGCACUCAGAAGUCUUUCCAUUAACUUCAAUGAGCUUUGGAUUAAGCACUUAGGGCUAAAAAAGGUUAUGCUUAAACCAAAUCUCUUCCCCCCCCCAAGAAAGGAGCUUAAAUUAUGCAAAAAGUUGUAGUAAACUCAGAAAACUCAGAGAGCUCACAAGCCCUCUGAAUCCCCCAUAUUUACACUGCUUUCUUUAGACCUUGUGAUUGGAAAGGGAGAAAAGUAGCUUAUCUGUGAAUUUAAAUGAGCUCAGCAAUGGCUGGGGCUACAGAACGUCACACAAGAUGUAUUACAAACAAGCUGGCAAAGCAGUUUAUUACACCAAAAGCGUGCAGAGGAUUAAAGAAAUACAAGGGAAACCCUGAUUGCUAUUGUGCUUUGGGAUUAAUAGAGUUCAAAAUAAAGCCACUGUUUUUG